CCACCUUCACCAUCUCAUAAACCCUAGCGCCGCUUGGUACACGACGCAUCUGUCCCUGUCGGCUCUGCGCCUGGUUCACGACGCCCCUCCACCAGCCGUCCUUGUAGAAGGUGUCCACCUCGUCGUCCGGAUUGAAGCCCUUGACGACCUCCUGUACCGGUGGCGCGGGCAUCACAAACGACGGCACGAGGACGGUGGCGAUCCGCCUCGAUUCGUGCCGAAAGCCCACUCCAGCCACCCUAUCUAAGUGAAACCCUAGCAGCGGCGGGGCGCGGCUGAGUCCGAGCGACGGUGGCUUGAGCAAGAAGACGA
rnacentral:lncRNA from 1 species